GCCCCUAGUAACGGCGAGUGAAGCGGGAAGAGCUCAAAUUUGAAAUCUGGUGGCCUCAGGUCAUCCGAGUUGUAAUCUAUAGAAGUGUUUUCCGUGCUGGCUCAUGUACAAGUCCCUUGGAACAGGGCGUCAUAGAGGGUGAGAAUCCCGUCCUUGACAUGAACUACCAGUGCUCUGUGAUACAUUUUCAACGAGUCGAGUUGUUUGGGAAUGCAGCUCAAAAUGGGUGGUAAAUUCCAUCUAAAGCUAAAUAUUGGCGAGAGACCGAUAGCGAACAAGUACCGUGAGGGAAAGAUGAAAAGCACUUUGGAAAGAGAGUUAAACAGUAUGUGAAAUUGUUGAAAGGGAAACGAUUGAAGUCAGUCGUGCUCUUUGGAUUCAGCCGGUUCUGCCGGUGUACUUCCUUUGAGUGGGGUCAACAUCAGUUUUGAUCGCUGGAUAAAGGCUGGAGGAACGUAGUACCCUCGGGUAAACUUAUAGCCUCCUGUCACAUACAGUGGUUGGGACUGAGGAACGCAGCACGCCUUUAUGGCCGGGAUUCGUCCACGUACGUGCUUAGGAUGUUGACAUAAUGGCUUUAAACGACCCGUCUUGAAACACGGGACCA
rnacentral:rRNA from 1 species